rnacentral:misc_RNA from 1 species
CCCAGCUCAGCAGGCUGGCAUGACACAUCACACAAGUAAGGCCUUGGAGGGCGGGAAAGAUAAGUGCUGGAGGUGUUUGAGUAACCGGCAUGCAGAAGAGGACUGUUAUUUUCGCCGAAAGAAAUGCUUUCAAUGUUUUCGUUAUGGACACACCAGUGCAGCCCACCGAGCUGGCACGGUGAACAGUGUGGGGAUGUUACCCGAGUCUGAGUCACAGGAGGGUGCCGAGGGUGGACUGGAGAUGGAAGUAGAGACUGGUGAGGUUGACGCUCUGGUUAGCGAUCUGUUCACAUGUGCAGAGGAGCGGCCGAGUCUGGUGAAGCCUCCAAUCAAGGUCGACGUCAGCAUCAACGGUCAGUCGGUGCAGAUGGAGCUGGACACCGGCGCCGCCGUCUCCGUCUGCACGUACCGCCGCUUCAAGGAGCUCUGGCCGGACGGAGACAGGUUGCUGCAGCCGAGCAGCCGUCUGCUUCGCACGUUCUCCGGUGAGAAGCUCUCAGUCCGAGGUGAGGCGUGGGUGAACGUGCUGUAUCAGGGUGUCAGUCAUCGAUUGCCAUUGACUGUGGUGGAGAGUAACGGUCCGAUGUUACUAGGCCGUAACUGGUUGGGAGAGAUCAAGUUGGACUGGCACAAUAUUUUUGCGAUGACUCUGAGUCCAGCCAUGGGAACACUGCUCGAAAAAUACUCCGAGCUAUUCAAGGACGAUCUGGGCUGUGCGAGGGAUGUAGAGCUCAACAUUCCAGUGGAUCCAGCCGUGAAGCCCAUCUUCUACAAGCCUCGGACGGUGCCACUCGCCUACCGGGAGAAGGUGGACGCCGAGUUGGAGCGGCAGAUCAAGGAAGGUUUGUUGGUGCCGGUCAAGUGGAACGACUGGGCGACGCCCAUCGUGACCUGCCAGAAGGCCUCAGGUGAGAUCAGAAUCGCAGCAGACUAUCGUCUCACAGUAAACAAGGUCACGCCGUUAGAAAAGUAUCCUCUGCCAAAAGUAGACGAGAUGUUCAGUAAACUGCAAGGUGCGACAGUGUACAGUCAGAUAGAUUUGAAAAAUGCGUACAACCAUCUGCCAUUAGAGGAGAAGAGUCGCAAAUAUUUGGCCAUAAACACACACAAGGGCUUGUUGGUGCCAACCAGACUGGGAUACGGGUACGCGAGUGCUCCGGCCAUCUUUCAACGUUAUAUGGAAACUCUCUUGGCUGGAAUACCAGGGGUGGGAGUGUUCCUGGAUGAUGUCAUGAUCGCUGGAAAAACCCCACAGGACCACCAGAACUCGCUGGAGGUGGUGCUACAGCGGCUGGUGGCGGCCAACCUGCGCCUGCAAAAGAAGAAGUGCAAGUUUGGAGUGUCAUCUAUCACCUACCUGGGACACCGCAUCAGCGCGGACGGCGUGAGUCCGACCGACGACAAGCUGCUGGAGACUUGCCAGAGCCCGGCGAGACUCUGCACCUGGUGGAGAUGAUGGACGCUUCGCCAGUGACCGCCGCUGUGGUUCGACUGGCGACUGAACGUGACGCCACCCUCAGCAGAGUGCUGCAGUACACCCGAGACGGCUGGCCUGAGGACAGGAGCGGCGAGUCACCGGAGUUAAGUGCAUAUCGCACGAAGCAAGGUGUCGGGACUGGCCGGCGUCGGCAGGACAACACGCUGGCUGCCCGGACACUGCAUCAACAUCUCGGGACUCAAGCUCACGGUCCGGCUGGACGACGGACGAGUCCUCCA